UACGUAGGGUGCAAGCGUUGUCCGGAAUUAUUGGGCGUAAAGAGCUCGUAGGCGGUCUGUUGCGUCGGCUGUGAAAACCCGGGGCUCAACCCCGGGCCUGCAGCCGAUACGGGCAGACUAGAGUUCGGCAGGGGAGACUGGAAUUCCUGGUGUAGCGGUGAAAUGCGCAGAUAUCAGGAGGAACACCGGUGGCGAAGGCGGGUCUCUGGGCCAAUACUGACGCUGAGGAGCGAAAGCGUGGGGAGCGAACAGG
rnacentral:rRNA from 1 species